rnacentral:lncRNA from 1 species
GGGGGAGGGAUAGCAUUGGGAGAUAUACUAUAAUAUGUUUAAAUAAAUGCUGUCAAUAAUAGUUAAUGAUUAUUAUGUUAAAUUGUUGUAUGACACAGAAAUAACCAAAUUUCCUUGUCAUCUGUGUCUUUUGACUAUGGCUGCCUUAAGACUUUUGUCAUCCACAAUUGUUGUUUUGCUUUGAUCUUUUUCAAAAAAAGUGACUUAUAAUCAGCUACCGUCCAGGGCUUGCUUCUUUGGGGGAGUUCCUGAAAAGGACUAUUGAAUUCAGGUGUCUGAUAACUUUGGCGAUUGCGCCACUGGAUGAGAGAGAAAACUUCCACUGCACUAACUGGAAGGCUGAUGUGUUCAUAAACAUUGCUCACCCAAUAUGACACAGGGCAGGAGCUGACUGCAUGGACUCAGCUAAUAGAACACUGGAAUGCUUUUUAUGUUUUUUUUUUUUUUGAAAUAUUGCUGAUUCUUCUUUUGUCUUUCAGAGUCAGGAUAAUUUUUUUCUUUUGAGCUAUUUAUAACCUUGAAAUAUACUUUUAAGUGUACUGAGUAUAUAUUUGUAAACAAAAUUUGAGUCAUAUUUCUCUCUGCCUAAUUUCUCCAGAAUUUUUAAACUAUUUGUGAAUAUUCUUAAUUCAUGGCAACGUGUUUGUUUGCAUAUGUUUAAUAAGAAUCUGUUUUAUUUUAUAAUGGGACACAGCUGGGGGAACUGGUUAUUUUCCCAAUGCUUUGACUGAAAUGGCCUUGCGAGAGGUUCCGGCGAAGCCAGUUUAGGACAGCCUAUGCAAACCACAGUUCUUGCUGUGCUUUGUGUGGGUGAUCAGGGCAGCAGGAAACUGAAGCUUAUUUUGCAAGUAGGUUGUCCUACUGUGAUUUGUCUUUGAUGCAAGUGGGGGAAUGGAAAGAGAUUUUCUUUUAGAAGAAAACUCUAUUUAGAUUAACCUUUGAUUCCUAAGUGA